rnacentral:rRNA from 1 species
CUCCUACGGGAGGCAGCAGUUAGGAAUAUUCGGCAAUGGGCGAAACUGAACCGAGCAGUGCCGCGUGUGAGAUGAAGGUCCUUUGGAUUGUAAAUCACUUUUAUUUGGGAAGAACAGUAAGUAUAGGAAAUGAUGCUUACUUGACGGUACCUUUUGAAUAAGCCCCGGCUAACUACGUGCCAGCAGCCGCGGUAAUACGUAGGGGGCGAGCGUUAUCCGGAUUUAUUGGGCGUAAAGCGUGUGUAGGCGGUUUGUUAAGUCUGAGAUGAAAGGCUAUGGCUCAACCAUAGUUUGUUUCAGAAACUGGCAGACUAGAGUGCAGUAGAGGCAAAUGGAAUUCAUAGUGUAGCGGUGGAAUGCGUAGAUAUUAUGAGGAACAUCAGUGGCGAAGGCGAUUUGCUGGGCUGUUACUGACGCUGAGACACGAAAGCGUGGGGAGCAAAUAGGAUUAGAUACCCUAGUAGUCCACGCUGUAAACGAUGAGCACUAAGUGUCGGGCAACCGGUGCUGAAGUUAACACAUUAAGUGCUCCGCCUGAGUAGUACGGUCGCAAGACUGAAACUCAAAGGAAUUGACGGGCACCCGCACAAGCGGUGGAGCAUGCCGUUUAAUUCGAAAAUACGCGAAGAACCUUACCAAGACUUGACAUCCCUGGCAAAGCUAUAGAAAUAUAGUGGAGGGUAUCCAGGUGACAGGUGGUGCAUGGUUGUCGUCAGCUCGUGUCGUGAGAUGUUCGGUUAAGUCCGCUAACGAGCGCAACCCUUGUCAUUAGUUACUAACAUUAAGUUGAGAACUCUAAUGAGACUGCCGAUACUAAAUCGGAGGAAGGUGGGGAUGACGUCAAAUCAUCAUGCCCCUUACGUCUUGGGCAACAGGCGUGCUACAAUGGCUGGUACAAUGAGCUGCAAACCCGCGAGGGGGAGCCAAUCUAAAAAGCCAGUCGUAGUUCGGAUUGAAGUCUGCAACUCGACUUCAUGAAGCUGAAAUCGCUAGUAAUCCUGGAUCAGAAUGCCAGGGUGAAUACGUUCUCGGGUCUUGUACACACGGC